UUAAAAGAUGGCGGACAAGGUGAAGUGAAAAUUUAUCUGAAAUAAUAAGCUCAGAGGGGAAAGAUUUCAGAAGAAUCUAGGGCUUUGGAAGCCUCUUGUGAAUUGCAAAACAGAGGCCCUUCUUUAUGGAAGCUGUGUGUCCCAGAAAGACAACAUUACCAACCAUACCUGUAAUAAGGAGUUUCAAGCACUUAAAGCCUGUAUAAGACAAGCAGCAAAGAAAAUUAAAGUGUAGAGACUUGAAAAGAGAGAACAACUGCACCUGUUGCAGCAAAGUCUAAAAACAGAAGACUACACAGGGAACCCACUCACUUUUUGUCUGGGAUAAAAAAUGUUAUAAGGAGACAUUUAGGCUUGUGGAAACUUAAAAAGAAUGUAAUGGAAGCCCCUGUGCUCAUUUUGAAUGCUGUGAUCUUUAUGGCUUUUUAUUUGUUUUGUUUAUUCAGGUACUUGGAAAAGCUAACAUCAUGGUAGAAUUGAUGAAUUAAAAGCAAAUUAUGGCUAAUGUGAACUGUGUUAGACUUACUCAUACUGAGUAUAAAGCUUAUUCUAAAAUGGUGACCAUCCUAUGAUUCCAUUUU